ACUUUUUCUCUGGGGAGAGCAAGAAACUUACAGUGCAUCGGAUGGUGUUGUUGUGUUUCCUGUGGGGAGAGCAUUGUCUCUAGGCUCAAAUUAAUGCCACAAGUGGAAGAUACAGCUCAGCUGUUUAUAAACUAAUAUGCAGCAAUUAUGAUAAAACAAAACUCAUUCGGAAAUUCUGCUGUAGCUAUGACAACGGUGUUCAGGGUAUUCUAUUGAAAGCAUAAAAGCAGCGACGGCCAGGGAUGGAUAUUGUACAGCUCUCCAGAUGAUGGACUGCAACUGUCUCCCAGUAUUCAUCAGCACUGGAUAUUCUGGAUACGUCUGUUCAGAUCUACAGUCUACACAACUGAAUUCAACUGUGAUCAGCACAACUAAGUGGACAGACUGGCAUCAAGUCCUUUUUCUGUGAAUGAUUUAGUAUGUCUAGACCUUGGACAACAUUUUGAAUAAUGGUAUCCAAGUAACAGUCAAACUCUACUUACCAUAAUUUUUCUAUGAGCCAUUUCUGAGCUGCAAUAAGAUGUUCAAGUUUAUCAAAAUCUUAUUGGAUGAAGUUAAUCCCAGCAGCGUUCUGCAAAGCAUAUUAAUUUGGGAUUGGCCUUGGAGAUUACUUAUCCUUCUGUAACUUUUCUGUCCCAUUUGCCCAUUUUGAAAUUCAACUGUGAUUAUUAUAUAGGUUUCCAAUUUUUGGUUAACUGUGUUGCAUGAUUUCAAAUAUAGAACACGUGUGUAAAACCCACACUACAUUAAUUCUUAAUUGUUAUUCCCCUUGUUUUUCUGCUCUAAAGAAAUUCAUUUAUAUUUGAUGGCAUAAGACAGGAUUUCUUUAUUAUAAUUGUAUUUUUUAUUGUAUAAUUUCAAUUUGAAGGGUUUCUUGUUGCUGAAAAUGGCAUAUACAUGACACAGUUCAAGUGGCUCAAUGAUAUUUCUGCUUCCACAUGAAACACCUGACAAAAUUUGAAAGUCUCCUUUUAUGAAAUGAAAUGAAAACAAAUAAAGAGAAUUUUACCAUUUAUAACAUGGCAGAGGAUUCUAAUUCUUAUUCAGGAGAAACCAGCAUCUCUGUUCUGUACUCCUACCUUUGACACUGCAUUUUGGGUUUCUACAUGAAAUGAUAAAACAUUUCCUUCUUGUCUUGAAUCCUAGCUAUGUGAUACAAGAUGUCCUAUUUAAAAAACAGAGCAGAGGCUAUAUCAAGAGAAAGAUGAGAUUGACAGCACUACUGCCUGUCACCCCUCCAGGCAAACAUCAUGCUCCUUUUUUAUUAAUGCAUGUCAUGGACAUGCUAAAAGGCAUUGCCAGACCCAGGAUCAGAGUAUUUAAGAGUACCUACGGGGCUGGAAAGUCUUCUUGCACAGAAAUUGGCUGCUUAGAUGCACACUGUCUAUCUUUCCCAACUCCCUCUUGCCUCUUCCAUGUCUUAUGUAUUCUGAGCAUAACCGAUACUUUGUUAGUAGCAUUUAAUGCACAUUUCUUUAGUAUUUGUUCUGUCUUGGGUCUUGCUCUCAAUGUUUUAUGCUAAAUGCGUAAUGUCAUUAUUUCAAUUAGUGUCUCAUGUGAUACUGCUGAACUCUGAUGUUUUUCUAGAAUCUUUUCUUCCCAUACAGGUUAAAUAUCCAGAAGUCUUAAGUGCUCCAAAUUCCAAAACCUCCAAAGCUAUACCAUGUACCCAUGAAAGACAUGUGCAUCUGGAGAGAGAUUUGAGGAUCUCUGGCAGGAAUCCAUGCCUUUCACAGUAUCAGAGAUACUUGUGUCUCUCUUCUCUGAAAUCUUCUGGGGAGACCCUCCUCUCGCUUCCGCCUUCCUCACAGUUACGUUUGGUGGGGACGAGAGAGAGGGCCUUCUCGGCCGUGGCCCCCCGGCUCUGGAACUCCCUUCCGAGGGAGAUUAGGUUGGCGCCUUCCCUACCAUCCUUUAAGAAACAAUUGAAAACCUGGAUGUUUGGGCUGGCCUUUGGAGAGACAGCCAUUGGAUGACCAGCCUCAUUAUAAUUAUAAUUCUAUUCUGAAUGUUAUUAGGUUCCUUUCACUGGGAUAUUUUAAUCUAAUGAUUUUAUCUUAUAUUGCUACUAUAGUCCCCCCACCUUUGAAGUUGACUGAAUUGCAUUGUUGGUUGUUUGAUAUUAUUACUAUUGAUAUUAUUACUGUUGUUUAAAUCUUUGUUUUAACUUGUUUUAUCAUCUUCUUGUGUUUUAAACUGUGUGUAUUGUUAAUGUAUUUGCGCUGUUACUUUUGUAACAUUGUGAGUCGCCCCGAGUCCCCAUGGGGAGAUGGUGGCGGGGUAUAAAUAAAGUAUUAUUAUUAUUAUUCAGCUGAAUGAAUGAGCAGGAGUACUGGAGCUCCCACAGGAGUGUUGGGUGGCCCACAGCCCAGUUAACACCACUGUCACUAUUGGGGUUUGCUGUGAUUAACAGGUUUCUAUCAGCAAAAAGGUAUUGACUAUGUUUAGUUCCUUGACUAUAUCGAUGGUUUGAUCAUAUAUAAUCUGGAACCCACUUUUUCAGAAAUGUCAUUUUUUUUGAAGUUUUGAACAUUAUGGAAAAAUUGUUUAAAAUUGCACAACAAAGGGACUGAGGUUAUAUAGCUGUAAUAUCAUGCAUCUUCAUUAGAAGGAAAACUACUUCUUCUUGGUGCAAGUCGCUCCUGACAUGAAAAAAAAUUGAAGGAAAACUGGAUUAAUGGAAAAUAACUACCGUGUUUCCCCGAAAAUAAGACAGUGUCUUAUAUUAGUUUUUGCUCCCAAAGAUGCACUAGGUCUUAUUUUCAGGGGAUGUCUUUUUUCUCCAUGAAGAAGAAUUCACAUUUAUUAGUGAACAAAAACUGAACAUUUUAUAUAUACUGUACAGUAGUUGUCAUCACAAACCAGCAUGACCAGACAAACUGUGAAUCCUAUCAAGAAUUUCUUGUUACUACCAAUAUUUCCAUGUACAACACUCUAUGGUACGUACAUUUACUGAUCCUGCAUGCUCUGGUGUUCUGUUCGUUGGGCAUGCUUCCAAACAAAAACUUUGCUAGGUCUUACUUUUGGGGGAGGCCUUAUAUUUAGCAAUUCAGCAAAACCUCUACUAGGUCUUAUUUUCUGGGGAUGUCUUAUUUUAGGGGAAACAGGGUAGUUACUUCAAAGUUCUGCCUCUGAAGUUCCAGACACCAUAUUUUUUUCAGCUUCUUUAGCUCCCUAUAUGUGUUUAUGUGAACGAUUUUCUGGCACUCACAAGGCCAAUUAUGCUGCUAAGGUACUCAGUUACUCUCCAACCACUGUCAGAGUAACAUUUUAUCAAGGACAGGAUCUCAUAGGUCAUAUAGAAUUGAUUUCUAUAUGAUGAUAUCUGAUCUGUGUUGUUCUGAUAGUGUUCAUGCACCCUGUGGAUUCUCAGUCAUGCCAUUCCCAUUAAUGAGUGGAAAGAUCUGAUUUCUCCUUACAGAUCAUCUUCCCAAGGGGAGGGUCUAUCACAGUCCUGUCCAGAAUACAUGAGGUCAGAAGGAGGGGGAAGACCACAAUGCAAUCGCUUUAUAAGGCAAAUCACUUGAAGGCACAUAUACGCCCAUCAUCAACAUUAUUAUGUGUGUAUAAAAAUGCUUAGAUAGUCUAUAUGUGCCUGCAAAUCACCUGUCAACUUAUGAGUGAGCUCAUGAAUGACAUAGGGUUUUCAUAGGAAAUAUAUUCAGAAAUAGUUUUGCCAGUUCAUUCCUCUGAAAUAUAAGCUACAGCACCUGGUAUUAUCCACGGACAGUCUCUCAUACAAGUACCAUAGCUGACCCUGCUGAACUUCCAGGAUCAUAUGGGACUUGGUCCUUUAGGAGAUUGAGGUUACAUGUCCAUAAAUCAAUGACUGAAAAACUCGGAGGAUGUUGUGGACUUCAUAACUGUAGCUGAGGCAUUGAUUUUUAAAAUAUCUUUCAGAAUACUCCCAGAGCUUAGAAGAACCAUGCUGACUGGUGAUUCUAAUAGCAGUGCUACAAAAAAGUAAUUUUUCCAAGCUACGAGUUUUUAGACAUUUUCAUAUUGAGGUGGAUAACUGAGGCCCUACAUUUCUUUAUAUGAUGUCCCAUUCACAAAUGGAAGGCAGUAGGAUCAUUAUCCACAAUUGAAGUGCUACAGCAGAGCCACAAACUCCUUAGUGGAAUUUGCAAAAGCUGCAGAAAAGUCUACUACAAACACAUGAAAGAACCUUCAGAAGCUACCUGAAGAAGUGAUUUUGAUCCAGAAACAAGGGUUACAAAAUACCCGGGAAUCCCUGUUGUUCUACAUUCCUUUAUGUUUUACAUUCCUUUUGUGCAUCUCCAAAAUAUUAACUUACAUGGGACUAUGAUGAAUUUAUCUAAAGUGUGAAUCACAAUAUACAGUUGUUUAUUCCUUUGACCAUGCAUUUCUAAGACUUUUAUCUACGUGGGACAAUACUGGAAUUUAAAGUGUUGUACUCAGUUAUUGAACAUACUUAUCUGUUACUGAAAAAACAUACAAACAUGAAUAUAAUGUUUGAUGUAAUGCUGUAAACAGUUUGUAUUUGUGCAUUACUCAUGCGCCUGUAAGGAUUAUAAUUUGUCUGUUACCAUUGUUCUAUUCUGUAUAUUAGUUAGUAAUAGAAUUUCUAAAUAAAACAUAUAUGGAGGAUCAGAGUUGUCCACUCCUACUUUAGACAGAGUAUGGGCACAUCUACGUUUACCAAAGG